rnacentral:rRNA from 1 species
UACGUGAGGGGCGAACGUUGUUCGGUGUCACUGGGCUUAAAGGGUGCGUAGGUGGUUGCGUAAGUAACGUGUGAAAUCCCUCGGCUUACCCGGGGAAUUGCACGUUAUACUGCGUGACUUGAGGACUAAAGGGGAAAAGGGAACUCCAGGUGUAGCGGUGGAAAUGCGCAGAUAUCUGGGGGAAGGCCGGCGGCGAAGGCGCUUUUGCUGGUUGAGAUCCUGACACUGAGGCACGAAAGCGUGGGGAGCAAACAGG